rnacentral:rRNA from 1 species
AUUGAACGCUGGCGGCAGGCCUAACACAUGCAAGUCGAGCGGAGCGGCGGACGGGUGCGUAAGGCCUAGGAAUCUGCCUGGUAGUGGGGGAUAACGUCCGGACACGGGCGCUAAUCCCGCAUCCUAUCAGCUGAGCCUAGGUCGGAUUAGCUCGUUGGUUGGGUAAAAGCCUACCAAGGCGACGAUCCGUAACUGGACUGCAAGGAUGAUAAGUCACAAUGGAACGUGGACAGGGUCCAGACUCCUACGGUAGGAAGCAGUGGGGAAGAUUGGACAAUGGGCGAAAGCCUGAACCAGCCAUGCCGCGUGUGUGAAGAAGGUCGUCGGGUUGUAAAGCACUUUAAGUUGGGAGGCGUUACCAACAGAAUAAGCACCGGCUAACUUCGUGCCAGCAGCCGCGGUAAUAC